CGAAGGGGCGUAGCGUUGUUCGGAGUUUACUUGGGGCGUAAAGACGCACGUAGGCGGUUUGGUUUAAGUCAGAGGUGAAAUCCCGGAGCUCAACUCCGGAACUGCCUUUGAUACUGGCAAGCUAGAGUCCGGAAGAGGUAAGUGGAACUCCUAGUGUAGAGGUGGAAUUCGUAGAUAUUAGGAAGAACACCAGUGGCGAAGGCGGCUUACUGGUCCGGAACUGACGCUGAGGUGCGAAAGCGUGGGGAGCAAACAGGAUU
rnacentral:rRNA from 1 species